rnacentral:rRNA from 1 species
AUUGAACGCUGGCGGCAGGCCUAACACAUGCAAGUCGAACGGUAACAGGAAACAGCUUGCUGUUUCGCUGACGAGUGGCGGACGGGUGUGUAAUGUCUGGGAAACUGCCUGAUGGCGGGGGAUAACUACUGGAAACGGUAGCUAAUACCGCAUAACGUCGCAAGACCAAAGAGGGGGACCUUCGGGCCUCUUGCCAUCUGAUGUGCCCAGAUGGGAUUAGCUAGUAGGUGGGGUAACGGCUCACCUAGGCGACGAUCCCUAGCUGGUCUGAGAGGAUGACCAGCCACACUGGAACUGAGACACGGUCCAGACUCCUACGGGAGGCAGCAGUGGGGAAUAUUGCACAAUGGGCGCAAGCCUGAUGCAGCCAUGCCGCGUGUAUGAAGAAGGCCUUCGGGUUGUAAAGUACUUUCAGCGGGGAUGAAGGGAGUAAAGUUAAUACCUUUGCUCAUUGACGUUACCCGCAGAAGAAGCACCGGCUAACUCCGUG